rnacentral:rRNA from 1 species
GACGAACGCUGGCGGCGUGCCUAAUACAUGCAAGUUGAGCGCUGAAGGUUGGUACUUGUACCAACUGGAUGAGCAGCGAACGGGUGAGUAACGCGUGGGGAAUCUGCCUUUGAGCGGGGGACAACAUUUGGAAACGAAUGCUAAUACCGCAUAAAAACUUUAAACACAAGUUUUAAGUUUGAAAGAUGCAAUUGCAUCACUCAAAGAUGAUCCCGCGUUGUAUUAGCUAGUUGGUGAGGUAAAGGCUCACCAAGGCGAUGAUACAUAGCCGACCUGAGAGGGUGAUCGGCCAAAUUGGGACUGAGACACGGCCCAAACUCCUACGGGAGGCAGCAGUAGGGAAUCUUCGGCAAUGGACGAAAGUCUGAACGAGCAACGCCGCGUGAGUGAAGAAGGUUUUCGGAUCGUAAAACUCUGUUGGUAGAGAAGAACGUUGGUGAGAGUGGAAAGCUCAUCAAGUGACGGUAACUACACAGAAAGGGACGGCUAACUACGUG